AUUGAACGCUGGCGGCAGGCCUAACACAUGCAAGUCGAGCGGAUGAAGGGAGCUUGCUCCUGGAUUCAGCGGCGGACGGGUGAGUAAUGCCUAGGAAUCUGCCUGGUAGUGGGGGAUAACGUCCGGAAACGGGCGCUAAUACCGCAUACGUCCUGAGGGAGAAAGUGGGGGGUCUUCGGACCUCACGCUAUCAGAUGAGCCUAGGUCGGAUUAGCUAGUUGGUGGGGUAAAGGCCUACCAAGGCGACGAUCCGUAACUGGUCUGAGAGGAUGAUCAGUCACACUGGAACUGAGACACGGUCCAGACUCCUACGGGAGGCAGCAGUGGGGAAUAUUGGACAAAGGGCGAAAGCCUGAUCCAGCCAUGCCGCGUGUGUGAAGAAGGUCUUCGGAUUGUAAAGCACUUUAAGUUGGGAGGAAGGGCAGUAAGUUAAUACCUUGCUGUUUUGACGUUACCAACAGAAUAAGCACCGGCUAACUUCGUG
rnacentral:rRNA from 1 species